rnacentral:rRNA from 1 species
UACGUAGGGUGCGAGCGUUGUCCGGAAUUAUUUGGGCGUAAAGAGCUCGUAGGCGGUCUGUCGCGUCUGCUGUGAAAACUCAGGGCUUAACCCUGAGCUUGCAGUGGGUACGGGCAGACUAGAGUGCGGUAGGGGAGACUGGAAUUCCGUGGUGUAGCGGUGAAAUGCGCAGAUAUCAGGAGGAACACCGGUGGCGAAGGCGGGUCUCUGGGCCGUAACUGACGCUGAGGAGCGAAAGUGUGGGGAGCGAACAGG